rnacentral:lncRNA from 1 species
CGAAGAAGGGUGGGGCCUGAGAAGCCCAGCCUGGAACUUAAGACUGGGACCCGAGCUGUUGGGGAAUCGGCCUCGGGGCAGCAGCCGAAGCUGUUCUCCACGUACACCUCGUACUUGCCGCUGUCCUGAGGCGUGGCCCGGCGAAUGGUCAGCGUCGUGGUGGUGCUGCCGAUCUCGAAGAACACCCUGCGGAAGGGCGGCGGGGAGGAGGGCGGAGCCGUGGUCAGUACACGGGCGCACUGGGCGGGGCUCCUUAGCCAGCUCUGUUCCUCGCUGCCCAGUCCCCGCCCCCGUCACUCCAGCCAGAUUUCUGGGCUCAGUCCCACCCAGGUUCCAGCCCCAGGCCCUGGCCGUGCCGCAGGUCCCGGCCCUCGCCUGUCAUCCUCCUCGAUGUCCUCCCCGUCCUUGGUCCAGCCUACGUCGGGCGCAGGCUCUCCCAGGAUCUCCGCAGUCAGCGUCACGGUGGUGCCUUUGCGCGCCUUAGUGUUGUCGGGUCCCUUUUGAAUCUUCGUCGGGACUAGCGGAAGGAAAGGGGAGCGAAACCCCGUGAAGGACCCGGAGAUGAGGCAGGGCAUCACCUCACCGGCUAAUACCCGGCACUAAAUACAGAUGCAUUUAAACUCGCAGUGUGACGUUGAGCAAAUCAUUAGCCUCUCUGGUUUCAUCUCCUUGGCUGUUAAAGGGACUUAUCCCUGCCUCUCCUACUUCUCGGGGUCGAAUAGAGGAUCAAGAGAGAUAAGGCGGGCGAAAGCCCCUGAAUGUUCACACAUCUCGCGGUGCCUCAGAGACCGCUCCGGGUAGUGGAAAUUGCCAGAGUUGGGAGCCAGAAGACCCGGGUCCAACCCUGGCUCUGCCUCUGGCUUGCUGUGUGACCUUGGGGACCCGGAGCCGCGUGAUGGAAGUCCACAGCUGACUGCUCAGCCCGGGUGGAGCUGGAUCCCGAGGUAGGGAAGGACGCACUUGGCUGGCGCGGCGAUGCGCCCCAGGCCGUGCCCAGAGCUGGGCUGGCGGGGACCCUGUAGCUAGGCCCAGAGGUAAACACGCGCAGCUGGACCGGGCUGCGGGCUCUGGCUGAGUGGUGCUGGUCUGCGCCCUGGCGCUGCGCCCGGGGCGCGCGUACCUUCCACGAGGAUGCGCGCCGAGUCGGAGCACUGGCCGAAGGGGUUGGUGACGUUGAUGCUGUACUGGCCCAGGUCUGCCAGCUCGCCGUCGCGCACCACCAGUGCCACCACGUCAGGGUCCUCGAAGACGUAGCGGUACUUGGGACCGUCACGUAGCUCCUUGCCGUCCUUACUCCAGCGGAUGAAUGGGUCCGGGAAAGCCGAAAUGCGGCAAGUGAGCUUGGCCGCGCUGCCUUCGAUCAGCACCAC